rnacentral:rRNA from 1 species
UACGUAGGGUGCGAGCGUUAAUCGGAAUUACUGGGCGUAAAGCGUGCGCAGGCGGUUCGUCGUGUCUGAUGUGAAAGCCCCGGGCUCAACCUGGGAAUGGCAUUGGAAACUGGCGGACUAGAGUGUGGCAGAGGGGGGUGGAAUUCCACGUGUAGCAGUGAAAUGCGUAGAGAUGUGGAGGAACACCGAUGGCGAAGGCAGCCCCCUGGGCCAAUACUGACGCUCAUGCACGAAAGCGUGGGGAGCAAACAGG